CCUACGGGGGGCAGCAGUGAGGAAUAUUGGUCAAUGGGCUUACGCCUGAACCAGCCAAGUCGCGUGAGGGAAGACUGCUCUAUGGGUUGUAAACCUCUUUUGUCAGGGAGCAAUUGGCGCUACGUGUAGCGUUAUCGAGAGUACCUGCAGACAAAGCAUCGGCUAACUCCGUGCCAGCAGACGCGGUAAUACGGAGGAUGCGAGCGUUAUCCGGAUUUAUUGGGUUGAAAGGGUGCGUAGGCGGAAUGCCAAGUCAGCGGUAAAAUCGCGGGGCUCAACCUCGCUCCGCCGUUGAAACUGGCGGUCUUGAGUGGGCGAGAAGUAUGCGGAAUGCGUGGUGUAGCGGUGAAAUGCAUAGAUAUCACGCAGAACUCCGAUUGCGAAGGCAGCAUACCGGCGCCCAACUGACGCUGAAGCACGAAAGCGUGGGUAUCGAACAGGAUUAGAUACCCUAGUAGUC
rnacentral:rRNA from 1 species